CAAAAAAAUUUUGGGGAAAUAACGGGAGGCCAGUCUGCGUUCAAGCGUCGCGGUAUACAAGCUCCUCGAAGUGUCAGGGCGUUAUGGCUAAGCAUCCGUAGCCGGCUCAGUUGGUCUCUGUAAAUCCCAGCGGCUCAACCCGUUGGUCUGCAGGAGAUACCCGCUGGGCUAGGAGGCGGGAGAGGGCGGACGGUACUCCGAGGGUAGGGGUAAAAUCCUUUGAUCCCCGGAAGACCACCAGUGGCGAAGGCGGUCCGCCAGAACGCGCUCGACGGUGAGGGAUGAAAGCUGGGGGAGCGAACCGGAUUAGAUACCCGGGUAGUCCCAGCCGUAAACGAUGCGAGCUAGGUGACACAACGCCUUCGGGGCGUUGUGGUGCCGCAGGGAAGCCGUUAAGCUCGCCGCCUGGGGAGUACGGACGCAAGUCUGAAACUUAAAGGAAUUGGCGGGGGAGCACCACAAGGGGUGAAGCCUGCGGUUCAAUUGGAGUCAACGCCGGGAAUCUUACCGGGAGCGACAGCAGAUUGAAGGUCAAGCUGAAGACUUUACCAGACGAGCUGAGAGGAGGUGCAUGGCCGUCGCCAGCUCGUGCCGUGAGGCGUCCUGUUAAGUCAGGCAACGAGCGGGACCCCUACUUCUAAUUGCUUUAACAGACAUCGCAAGGUGUUUGUGGCUAGUUAGAAGGACUGCCGCCGCUAAGGCGGAGGAAGGAAGGGGCCACGGCAGGUCAGUAUGCCCCGAAACUCCCGGGCCACACGCGGGCUGCAAUGGUAAGGACAAUGGGUUCCGAUCUCGAAAGAGCUAGGCAAUCCCCAAACCUUACCCCAGUUGUGACUGAGGGCUGUAACCCGCCCUCACGAAUCUGGAAUCCCUAGUAACCGCGUGUCACCAUCGCGCGGUGAAUACGUCCCUGCUCCUUGCACUCACCCCCGUC
rnacentral:rRNA from 1 species